GAGUAGCCCCUGGCUCUCUACAACUAGAGAAAGCCUGCAUGCAGCAACAAAGAGCCACCCCAGCCAUAAAUAAAUAAAUACAUAAAUCUUUCUUAAAAAGUAAAAACAAAAACAAACUACACAGGGAGGUCACUGGGGACCCUAAUCAGUGCAGUUUCUGAAGGUAAAAAAGCCAGACAGCAGUGGCUGGGAAGAGGAGGCAAAUGUAAAUGACUCCUUGGAGAAGAUUAAAUGGUAUCUGGAAGGUGGCAUGGAAUCGAGGGAUAGCUUUUUAGGUUAAAACUUUUUUUUAUUAUUAUGGAAUAUUUCAAACAUGCACAGAAGUAGUACAAUGACACCCCCCUCCCCCCCAAUAUACCCAUUAUCCAGCUUCAACAAUGGCCAAUUCUUGGCCUGUGAUGUUUCAACCAACCAACCUCCUAACCGCACCUCACCCCACAUACCCUGAAGCACCAGGACAGUAUUUGGAUGAGCAAAACAAAAGCAUUUUAGGUACUGACGGGAGAGGCAUCAGGAGAAAUAAAGAGGCUGAAAACACAAAAGAGAGCACAGAAAUGGAUUAACGACCCUGAGUAAGCACACGGGACUGUGGACUUUCGGGGAAAGGGAAUUAGAGUGAAAUGCGGGAGGCGUUAGCAAAUAAGAGUUUGCGUGUGAGGGGAGGAGUCAAGGGAAGGAGGUAACAUGAGAAAGCAAGGUUGGCUGAAAUAAUGGGAGAGUUAGCCCGGGACAGGGACAAGUUUGCUAGCUCGAGUUAGCCUGGUAAGGAAACGGGUUAGCCCGGGCCACGGAAACAGCUGGAAGAGGUUAAUUUCGGGGGAGGCGAUGGGAUAAAAGAGGUCAGCCUGAAGCGGACAGGACCUGAAGAACCUGCAGGUGUGGAGAGAAAACCUUGGUCUUGAUUUGCCCUAGGUGAUAGGAAGACCAGCUAAGGAAAACAGCAGUGGCAAUUCCUAAGUGCUCCCCAUGUCCAGGCUGUAUCCUUAACUCAUCUGACCCCCGAUCAACUCUCUGAGUUCUCUACCAGGGCUCAGCCAACAGCUGGUGCCAAGGAAAUGUCACCUGCUUACUGAGGAAGCAGUCAACCCUGACCCCAGAACCACAAGCGGGAGAGUUCAGUGUGAAAUGUCUCACCU